AUUGCAAGUCACAUUUUGGAUCUAAGUAUCUAUCUUGUGAUUAAAUUUAGGGUCAUCCAAGUAUACAUCCUCAUUUCAUAUUGUCAGCCACAUUUUUGGAUGAAUAAUCCAUCUCAUGAUUAAAUUUAGAACCAUCUAAGCAUACAUCUUUAUUGCAAGUCACAUUUUUUGGUCAAGAAUCCAUCUAAGCAUACUAUAUCAAUUUCAUAAGAAUAAAAAUUUAUAUUCUAAGCCACAAUAAUUCAUUAAAUUUUGGGUCAUCUAAUCAUAGCAACUAACUUGUCUUAAGUAUACAUAUGGAAAAUUUUCAAUUUUUAUCGACCUUCUUAAACAUGAAAAAUCAAGAAUCAUCAAGAAUACACAUCAUAAAAGAAUCAAUACAUCAGAAAUCUAAAGGAGAGUGGAUUGAAAAUGGAAAGAGAGAGAGAGAGAGAGAUGAACCAGUGAAUAAUGAUAUCAAAUUCAGAAGAGCUAGAAGCUUUAUAUUUCUUUUGAUCGUAUCUACAUCUCUCUCUUUGGAAUCGAGGCAAACCAUGGACAGCAGAAACUUGAAAUUAAAUAAGAUUUAUAGGGUUUGAAUAAUCAAGAUUCAUGGAUAAGAUUUCUAGCAUUCGAAUAAUCAAGAUUCAUGGAACUGAACAUGAAGAACUGAUGUCACCGUCGCAAAGGAAACAGAAAAAAGUUGCCUAAAAAACAUUGACGCCAUGCCACGAGUCGAAACAAUUAUAAAGAAUUCAAAUCAAAAUUCGGAAUGAUUGAACCCUGAAUGCGAAAUUUGAAUUCAUAAAAAAAGAUACAGAUUCAUUGAAUCUUGAAUUCAGAUGAAAAUAUGCACUGGCGUACUGGUGAGGAAUCGAAUACGUAUCGGCGAUUCAACGUUCAGCGACUACAUAUUCAUCGAAAUUCAAUAAAAAAGAUAAAUCUUUAUUUCGGUUUUGCGACACACCAAUAUAAUAUCUUUUUCGCUCCUUAUAGUGGCAACUUGAAGCCCAAGGUUAG
rnacentral:lncRNA from 1 species